GGUGCAUGGUUGUCGUCAGCUCGUGUCGUGAGAUGUUGGGUUAAGUCCCGCAACGAGCGCAACCCCUAUUGUUAGUUGCCAUCAUUCAGUUGGGCACUCUAGCGAGACUGCCGGUAAUAAACCGGAGGAAGGUGGGGAUGACGUCAAAUCAUCAUGCCCCUUAUGACCUGGGCUACACACGUGCUGCAAUGGUUGGUACAACGAGUUGCGAGUCGGUGACGGCGAGCUAAUCUCUUAAAGCCAAUCUCAGUUCGGAUUGUAGGCUGCAACUCGCCUACAUGAAGUCGGAAUCGCUAGUAAUCGCGGAUCAGCACGCCGCGGUGAAUACGUUCCCGGGCCUU
rnacentral:rRNA from 1 species